rnacentral:tRNA from 2 species
GGAGCGGUGGCUGAGUGGUUGAAAGCGCUCCCCUGCUAAGGGAGUAUACCCCAAAAGGGUAUCGAGGGUUCGAAUCCCUCCCGCUCCGCCA